CCACAGAAGAUAAACAAAGAAUCCUGUGUUUUGAAAUCUGACUACGCUACAGUACUGUGACAGCUGUGAAUCGUCUCAUCUCGCUAAGUUAUCUUAUAYGGACACGUUACAUUAGCUAGUUGCUUUGGCACUUGUCCACAAUGGAAGAAGCAGGAUACACAAGCCAUGGCUUCGGCUACUUCAGGUUCUAUUCACUUCUUCCACAAUGAUUUUUGAGGAUGAGAUACUAAUGAAAGAAUACCUGAAGAUGAUGACUGAUAUGAUUGUGUUGUGUGCCACCCUGGCCAUCUCCCUCUUCUUCUGGAUCAUUUCCAUCACAGCCAGCACAUAUUAUGGCACUCUCCAGCCGGUGUCUCCAUGGCGAUGGUUGUUCUCCAUCCUGGUUCCUCUGACUCUCACCACACGGGCCCUGAAGAAGAGGAGUCUGGACCACAGCGGCGCCCUGGGAGGUAAACAAACAUUACAACAA